rnacentral:lncRNA from 1 species
CUGCUUGCUUGCCUUCCUUCCAUCCCCUUCCUUCCUUCCUUCCUUCCUUUCUCUCUCUCUCUCUCUUUCUUUCUUUCUUUCUCUCUCUCUCUGUCUCUCUUUCUUUCUUUCUUUCUCUCUGUCUCUCUCUCUCUUCUUCUUUUUUGGCAAGUCUUGCGUGCUCUGUCCCCUAGGCUGGAGUGCAGUGACAAUCACAGCUCAUUGCAACCUCGACCUCCUAUGCUCCAGCGAUCCUCCCACCUCAGCCUCUUGAGUAGCUGGAACUAUAGCCAUGGGUCACCACACCUAGCUAAUUUCUAAAUUUUUUGUAGAGACAGGGUCUCUCUAUGUUGCCCAGCUGGUCUCUAACUCCUGGACUCAAAUGAUCCUCCUGCCUCGGCCUCCCAAAGUGCUGGGAAUUCAGGCGUGAGCCCUGAUGCCCUGCCACAAAUGACCUUUUCAAGCAAUUUUUCAAAAAGUCUGUGUGAUUCCAAAUGUGUAUUCUUUAGAAAACAGUUGAUGAUUGUGCGUGCUUGGCAGGAAGAGACCACGUACAGAACGUUUCUUGCUCUGUUUGCUUUGGUGAAAUCCUCGAGCAAUGAGGUUAUCCCAUUGCAUGAUCUUAACGUACAGAAGACUUUGUAUUUACCAUCAAUUUUCAGGUGAAUUCUCAAAAAAUCUGCAUACCACUUAUCUUUCCUUUCUAUGUGAAAUAGUUUUCAUUAACUCCAUUUGUUAGCAUAUAAAUAAUAACUUUAGGUUAAUGUAUUUUACUCUUCAACCCAUACCAGAGGCAGGCUAGAAAUGAUAAUUUAUUCUCCAAAUGCACAUAAAGUUUAAUGAUGUAUGCUGCAUAAGUGCCUUCUUGUUAAACACACACACACAAGUGCACAGAUUUUAUGUAUUAUUUUUCCAUUAUGAUUAUGCUUUAGAAAAGCCUUUGCAUGCCACCCUGCAGAACUAAUAAGUGCCUGAGCACAGAGUUUCCUAGGAUGGGGGGAGCUUGCUUUAAAAGAUGGUAUAGUUAAAAAUUGCUGCUGAAACUUGCUUUUGAGGAAAAAAUAAGUACUUGGCUCAAGCACUUGGUCUCUACUUGGUCUCUGAGAAAAGGGUAAGCUAUCUAACACAUGUCUACUCCAAACACAUCUGUGAGGACAAGGAUGGUCUGAAAGCCCACAUGCAGAGAACAUAACUAGGCCUGGUUUGUUGAUAGCUUUUUCCCUUUGUCCUCACCUCCCUAUCUUCCUGCUACUGGAAAUUAUUUAUCUAUCUAUCUAUCUAUCUAUCUAUCUAUCUAUCCAUCCAUCUAUCUAUCUAGAUAUAGAUAUAGAUUUAUCCAACAGAACAAAGGCUGGAAAAGGACAUCUCUCCACUUUCCUAGGCUGCCCCUGCCUCCCCAGGACUGUGUCACCUCCCCACCCAUCCACACUUCACCACCCUUCUACCUUUGCCUUGGGCUGUUCUCCUGUGGGGCACAGAGAGUGUGGGGCUCCUGACAUGCCGACAUUCAGGGGAAGAAGAGGAAGAGUGUUCCAAUGAGGCUCCGUUUAUUUUUUUAUUUUUUGAGACAGGGUCUCACUCUGUUUCCCAGGCUGGAGUGAGUGGCACGAUCACAACUCACUGCAGCCUUGACCUCCCAGGAUCAGGUGAUCCUCCCACCUCAGCCUCCUAAGUAGUUAGGAUCACAGGUACAUGCCACCACACCUGACUAAUUUUUUGUAGAAACGGGGUCUCACUUUGUUGUCCAGGCUGGUCUCAAACUCCUGGGCUCAGGCAAUCCUCCCGUCUUGGCCUCCCAAAGUGCUGGAUUUACAGGUGUGAGCCAUGGCGCCUCACCUGGGGAUCCUUUUAGUACUGAGGGAAGGAAACCUUUCCCAGAAGCUUCCCAGUCACCUUCCCUUUCUUCCCAUUGGCCACGACUAGGGUGCAGGCACCUUGGGAAGGGUGGACCACUGUGACUAACCCAAUGCAGGACAUGGCUGGCCAAGGGGAGGAAGGUACAUGAGCCAGGACAAUUCAAGCUCCAUCAGAAAACGGGGUCAAUAGUAUCCCCUGGGAGAAGCCGUGCAAUGCCUGCCACAACCCUGCAGAGUCCCAGCAGCUGAGGGGGUCUAUUCCAGGGGCGAGAUCACGGCCUGCAAUGUGUGAGCUGGGUCUCAAGAGGGAGAGAGGGAACAGGCUGGAGAGAUGGAAGUCUGGGAGAGCAGCUCCUCGGGAGAGCACCAUGCAUGAGGAGUGAGGCUUGGGGCAGCUGGGAGAGGACCUAGAGAUGGGGAGAGAGAGAAGGAGUGUGGCCAGGAGCACAGGGGGCCACUCAGGCCAGAGAAGUGGGAACUGAAAAUGCUCUGGUGAAGGGGAGAGCAGCAGCUGGGCCUGAGACCAGAAAAGCCCCCAUGGGCUGCUGGAGGCUCGGGGAGGUGGCAGUGAGCUCUGGGCUCAGGGCACAAGAGGCUUUUGGAGGCUGGGUGCUGGCUGGACUCUGUUUGCCAGCCUUCUCUGUAAGUCCCAGGCAUUAGAGCACAGCAAGCAGGAAUAACAGGAGCCCUGGGCCCUUAGAAGGAAACUGAGGAGAAGCCUGGAUGUCCAUGCUGUGUUCCUGAGUUUUAAGGUGACAUUUUCUUGGCCACUUUUUAUCUGCAUGGUGUUGGGGAGACCCUGCUGAGGCUAGGGUUCUUGUUCUGGUCUUGGAGGUGGCACGGCUGGGGCCUGGAGGGAGAGCUUGGCACAGCUCCCAGGCUCUGCUGGGGCCCAGCUCCGCUCAGGAAUUAUCAGUCACUCAGAGAAAACUCAAAGGGCACUAGGCCUCCAGCAGUCAGCAGCAGUCACAACCAAAGUGGGGAGUGGCUCCAUUUGCCUUCUCCACCUGAGCUAGUGCUCCCCUUUCUCAUGCUUCCUUUAUCCCCCACAUUGAUGAGCCACUUUUUCCUCCUCUUCAUCUGCACUGCCACACCCCACCCCGAACACUUAGCAUCCCAGGUGACUUAGCUGGAGGGAACCUGCUAUGGACUGAAUUGUAUUCCCCUAAAUUUAUAUGUAGAAGCUCUAAUCCCCAGUGUGAUGGCGUUAGGAGGUAGGGCCUUUGCAGGGUGAUUGGAUCAUUUGCAUGGAACCCUCUUGCAUAGGAUUAGUGCUUCUGUAAGCAGAGACAUAAGAGAGAUGACUUCUUUCCUCCACGUGAGACUAUAGCAAACAGGCAGCUCUCUGUGACCCAGGAAGCCAGCCCUCCCUAGAACCUGACCAUGCUGGCACCCUGAUCUUGGACUUCUAGCCUCCCCUCCAGAACUUCGAGGAAUAAAUGUUUGUUGUUUGAGCCACCCAGUGUAUGGUAUUUGUUAUGGCAGCCCAAACUGAGUGAAACAGAACCUUAGGGGUUACCUGGUCAAAACCCCCCUUGUUCAGAUGAUGAGAGGAGAGAGGCCCAGGCCAUCAGGCAGGUGAGGUCUGUGGCCAGCCUCAGACUUUAGUUUCCUGAUGGCAUUAAGAAUCUCUGCUCUGAGCCUGGAAUGAAUACAGGCUCUACCUGUUUUUAGCUGUGUGCAAAUUACCACGCACUGUGGUUUCCCAUCUAUAGAAUGGGGCUGUAAGGGACCUGGCCUCACAGGCUCUGGGGAUUAGAGGAGAUGGAGCAGGCAAAGCACUGAAUCCACUGAGGUCUCAGUGCUCUCAGUGAUUAUCAUCAUUGUUGUUGA